UCAACAUUAGUGUAAAAACGUUGUUUAACGUUGCCCAAUAGACGUCGGUUUGCUGAUAAUCCGACGUAUAUGAGUGGACGGUGGCAUUAUCGUAAAUAACUUGGUAAAGUAGACGUCGGUUUCCAGACAACGUAACGUCUAUGAUAUUGUAGACGUCCAAACUGUUUCAAACAGACGUCUAAUGGCCUGAGGUAGGUCAGAAGACAGUCCCUUCACGUCGGUGUUCACGGGGGGCUGACGUCUAUAGGCCUGUAAUUAAUGCUUUCACCUAAUUUCCAGACGCUUAGACGCCGCUUAGUCAACAGGCGACGUCUAAGGCCUGAAUAUGGAAGGCGGGAAAGAUAAAAAAUCUUUAAUUUAGACGUUGGAGAUUUGUGCACGUGACGACUAAGUGCCUGUAAUUAAUUAGAUUCACCAAAUUCAAGGGCCAUAGACGUUGGCUAGAAGGGGCACCGACGUCUAUGUGCCUGUAAGUAAUGAUGUGCAUCAUUAUAGACGUCGGCGCCCCAUCACAACUGUCGUCAACAUCCCUGACAGAAAAUCAAAUGUCAAUCGUUUCAGCUUCCUAGACGUCGGUUCCCAUUGUGACUAACGUCUAGUGGGAUUCAAAAGGUCAGUUGAAAAGUUAACUUGGACGUCAAAUUAGUAACAGAACGGAUGUCUAUAGUCAUAUAGACGUCGACUAUCUGGAGAAACCGAUGCCCAGUUUCGUUUUAAAUAGACCGCAAACUCUUCCCAGCAUUCAGUUUCUGAUAUCUUCCUCUUCCUCUUCUUAUUUUUCUCUCGCAGCACUCUUCUUUUUCUCCCUUUCGGCACGUCUUCUUUUUGUUGCGGCAUUCUAUUGUUGUUUGUGAUAUCUUUAUCGUCUUCCUCCUCUCUUUUUCUCUCUUGCGACAUUGCCUCCCAGGUGCGUGAUUUUUUGUUUAUGCUUACCGUUUGUUUAGUCUUUCAUCGAUUAUCUUCUGGUUCAACUGAUCAAAAUUUGCUUUCUUUGUGUUGUGUUUUAGUGCAGUUUUGUUCCUUUCUUGGGAUAACGUAGUAACACAUUCUCCCUUUUCUAGCUGCCUCCCGGAAAUAGCGCCGCC
rnacentral:lncRNA from 1 species